rnacentral:rRNA from 1 species
AUACGGAGGGUGCAAGCGUUAUUCGGAAUCACUGGGCGUAAAGGACGCGUAGGCGGGUUGGCAAGUCAGAUGUGAAAUCCUACAGCUUAACUGUAGAACUGCAUUUGAAACUGCUAACCUAGAGUAUGGGAGGGGGAGAUGGAAUUAGUGGUGUAGGGGUAAAAUCCGUAGAUAUCACUAGGAGUACCGAAAGCGAAGGCGAUCUCCUGGAACAUAACUGACGCUAAGGCGUGAAAGCGUGGGGAGUAAACAGGAUUAGAAACCCUAGUAGUCC